GACGAACGCUGGCGGCGUGCUUAACACAUGCAAGUCGAACGAAGUGGCGAACGGGUGAGUAACGCGUAAUCAACCUGCCCUUCAGAGGGGGACAACAGUUGGAAACGACUGCUAAUACCGCAUACUGAAGGAGGGGAUUGCGUCUAUUAGCUAGCUGGAGGGGUAACGGCCCACACAGGCGAUGAUCAGUAGCCGGUCUGGGAGGAGGAACGGCCACAUUGGGACUGAGACACGGCCCAGAAUCCGAAGGGAGGGAGCAGGGGGGAAGCUUCCGCAAUGGACGAAAGUCUGACGGGGCAACGCCGCGUGAGUGAUGACGGCCUUCGGGUUGUAAAGCUAUUUUAAUCGGGGCGCGGUACCGGAAUAGAAAGCCACGGCUAACUACGUGCCAGCAGCCGCGGUAAUAC
rnacentral:rRNA from 1 species